CAGGAGGUGUUGGAAAGACGGGUCGGAGCUUCCACAUGCUCACAUUUUCUCAAGGAGCAAUUCCAGGACUCCUUUCAAGAAUUUGUGAUGGAGCAUUGUUUGGUCGGUCGAGGGUGCCCUGGUGUGAGGCCAGAGCAAGAAGAAGACAAGCUGAUGUGUAAUACCUAUUAUUGGGCUGAAUCAGAGAACUUACACCACUACAGAAUCACCACUAUAAUCCUGGAUGCAGGCAUUAACGAUUUGGAGUAUUUUCCCAUAAAGACUUGACCUGGGAGCCGAGAGGCUAGCUAUACACUGCCUGGAGUAACGUCAAUGAAAUGGACAAUUGGAUGGGGAGAGUUACAAAGUACACGAGGACCGAGCACAAUAUAAUCCAUUGGAGAGCAAUGAAAUUCUACUUAUCUUACACUGCCAA